AAACGCAGUCAUUUUUGUUUUCCUUCAGAUUUUUACGGUUAAAAUGGUGGAUUAAAUGUUCAUGCCGGUUCAUCCUUUCCCAUGAUGGAGUGUGCACAGAGCCCUGAUUUGCAGCUCUGCUGUUUCUCUCUGUUUAUUGAAAGCAUCUACCUCACCGGACUGCCAGUAUUGGAACGUUACCCUAACUGGCCAUGAAUACAACUAUUGACAGGACCGAGGAUUAUGGAUUCUUGUAUCUCCAGCUCCGUACGUGGAUUCUGUGAGAUGGUCCCCCAUUUGCCCCGCACCGUUUGUUGAAUGCUCCAUGUUUUCUCCGUUGACAUGAAACGCCUCCCAGGAGAUUCUUGGGCAGACUUCAUGGCUUCUGAGCUGAGCUUGUGGUGACAGUGGUUCCUCUUUGUGAAACCUCUCCAGGCGGGCACAGACCUCAAACACGCCACUGAGAGCUGCAAACAAGUCAAACCUGCACCAGUACCGGCGUGUGUGAGGUCUCCAAACUGCAGCCUGGAAUGAUGUGAGCGCAUGAUUCCCAU